UUCCAUCUAAUAAUUCACGAUUACAUAUGGAAUAACUCGAAUAUUUUGGUGUAUCAGAAACUGUGGCGUGAACUAAAAUAUCUGAAUCCCAAGGAUGGACGGGUCGAUAGUUGAGUAGAUGCCGGUUUGGUUUGAAAACUUAUUCAGUACUGAUUUUCAAGGAUACCAAGUACGUGGACUUAUGCAGCCAAAUUUGCUCUCGAUUUAAAGAGCUGAAUUCAUGCGAAAUUGAGAUGACAUACGCAAUUGGAAACCACUCAACAUGUUUACUACAAGAUGACAUGGAUGUUCGUGUUUUGCACAUGUCUAUAUCCAAUGAAAACAAGAAUUUGGUGGAUAUCGAUAUUGUUAGAGGUGGAGGUACAUUGUUUGGCAAAGGUGUGGAGGAUGAUAUUGAUUCAUCAGACAAUGAAGACAGUAACUCAACUGAUGAGAAUGAAUGUCUGGGUAAGUAUGCAGCCAACAAAUCAAAACUUUAUUUGUCUCAUGAGUGGAAAACAUUUAUCAGUGAAGUUGGGCAAAAAUAUGAAGGAGGGGUAAUUGAGUUUAGAAUCAAAUUGUGCAAAUAUGCCUUUGAGAAGGGGUUUAAGUUUGUAUAUGUGAAAAAUGAUUUGAAGCGUGUUACAGCAGAAUGUGUGAA